rnacentral:tmRNA from 1 species
GGGGUCGUUUUUGGUUUUGACAGCAAGGAUAAUGAUUGUGUAAGCAUGCCGAGCAAUGUUGAUAAGCUCGUAAAACUUUUCAACAAACCAAUAAACGGCGAAUCUAAUAAUUACGCUCUCGCUGCAUAAUCGAAGUACAGUAGAUUAAUGCUUAAUCCCGCACAAGUUGCGGGACGAGAUGUCUCUCAAAAAGGAUUGCCCGAUUCCUUUUUGAAUUGAGGCACCGACAAAAUCGGGAUCGUUUCGGCAGAGCUUCGAUGCCGAAAUUAAAUUUAAGAAGCUAAGCUUUAAUCUUGGGUGCUCUUUCCCGAAUUAAAGUCGAAAAUCAAUAAAGAGAUAAGCAUGUAGAAAGCACGAUUGUUACUUGUUUGGACGCGGGUUCGACUCCCGCCGACUCCACUG